rnacentral:rRNA from 1 species
CUACGUGCCAGCAGCCGCGGUAAUACGGAAGGUCCAGGCGUUAUCCGGAUUUAUUGGGUUUAAAGGGAGCGUAGGCCGUGGAUUAAGCGUGUUGUGAAAUGCAGGUGCUCAACGUCUGCACUGCAGCGCGAACUGGUCCACUUGAGUGUGCGCAACGCAGGCGGAAUUCGUCGUGUAGCGGUGAAAUGCUUAGAUAUGACGAAGAACUCCGAUUGCGAAGGCAGCUUGCGGGAGCACAACUGACGCUGAAGCUCGAAAGUGCGGGUAUCGAACAGGAUUAGAUACCCUGGUAGUCCGCACGGUAAACGAUGGAUGCCCGUUGUCAGGCUGUUUCAGCCCGGUGACCAAGCGAAAGCAUUAAGCAUCCCACCUGGGGAGUACGCCGGCAACGGUGAAACUCAAAGGAAUUGACGGGGGCCCGCACAAGCGGAGGAACAUGUGGUUUAAUUCGAUGAUACGCGAGGAACCUUACCCGGGCU